CAUGUAUCUGCCAUACACCUUUUCAAUAGUAUCCAUAGGAAGAAAUAUACAAAAUUAUCAAUAUAGCAUGUUUUUCAAGGGAGGUGCCAAAUAAAAUUCUUGUUUAUUAAUUUGAUAGCCUAAUAAUAUUAUAUACAUGUGAGAUAACAACCUACAUUUCUUUUAACAUAAAAUAAAAAUAGUGGGACUUGCAAGAUUGAAUUUUUAUUAACUCCCUUAAUUUGACGUAUCUUAAAUUUUUGAUUAGGAUCGGUAAGUUAAGGCAUAAUUCCCGUUAGUUGUACCUUAAAAAAACAGGAAAAAAAAGAGGGCAUCUUAAAAUCAAUUAAGAACAUGAAAGUAAAAAAGGACAACUUUGCAUGUUAAAAAGGCUACUUGCAGUAUAACAAAUCCGCAAUUUUUUCAAUUCAACAUAUAACAAAUCCACAACGGAACAAUGGAAUUUAAUUACCAUUGCAAACGAAAAAAAAUUAUGGGCAUCAUCAUGCAUGCGAGCGUACCUUAGUUGUAGUAUAACAAAUCCACAAUUUCUUCUCUUCAACAUAAAUUGACCUUGAGUAUCUCAAAUAAUAAGUAUGCAGGCUCAUUUUUAGUUACUCCCUUCAAUUUGAGGACUUAAGGCUCAGAGAACGAAAGCUGCAGAUUUGAUUUGGUAUGACAUUUCGAGGCUGAAAUUGAAAUUUAGAUAACUGUAUCGGAAGAAUUAUCGGUUAACAAUGUGGAAAACCUCUGUCAAAGGCUGAAAUUUUUACUGAUAAACUCGGAGCGGGUGUUUUAAAGCAUGAUGUACUAUUUGAGAAACUCCUCGUUUGAUCUGCAAAACGAAGGGCAAGGAGAGAGAAAAAUAGAGCCGAGAAUGAUCGAGAAGCAGAGCAGAAGAAAGAACAUAUUCAAAAGACAUAAAUACCCUCACUUUUGGUUAAAAUUACGGAGAGUAC
rnacentral:lncRNA from 1 species